CGCCGGUGCCGUCGCCUUCCUGGCGCCGCCCCCGCCCCUCCGCGCGAGGCCGGGGGCAGAAUGGGCGUCUCGCCUCUUCUCACGAAACAAAGAAGCCGCCGCUGCCGCCGCCAAGCGAGGUAAAUACUGCGGAACCACACCAGGCAAGGUUGGAUCAGUCUGAAGAUCUGGAACCUCGGAUAUCUGGGAGCCGUCAUUUGUGCUAAUGAGUAGCAGUUGGUAUCAGCCACUGGAUUCUGCCCCAGAUGGAGCAAGGGACACAGCACCCUUGAGGCCGCCCUGCUGGAAAUCUCGAAAGGGCAAAUCCGGGACUUCUGCUAUAGCUUGGCAGUGAGUUCUCCAGAAACGCCAACUGGACCUGCUCCUCCCACAGCGCCUGAUCCACCUGAUCGUCGGUGAGCACUACAGGCUUGUACUU